GAUGAAGAACGCAGCGAAAUGCGAUAAGUAAUGUGAAUUGCAGAAUUCAGUGAAUCAUCGAAUCUUUGAACGCACAUUGCGCCCGCCAGUAUUCUGGCGGGCAUGCCUGUUCGAGCGUCAUUUCAACCCUCAAGACCCCUUCGGGGGACUUGGUGUUGGGGACCGGCACAGGGGCCUGCCUGCUUGUCUUGCAGCGCCCUCGCCGCCCCCGAAAUGAAUUGGCGGCCUCGUCGCGGCUUCCCCUGCGUAGUAGCACAAACCUCGCAACGGGAACGUGACGGCGGCCACUGCCGUAAAACAACCCAAUUUUAUUAGAGUUGACCUCGAAUCAGGUAGGAAUACCCGCUGAACUUAAGCAUAUCAAUAAGCGGAGGA
rnacentral:misc_RNA from 1 species